UGUAAACAAAACCUCAGCAGCAGCACGUGAGAGAGGGAUUUUCAUGGAAAAUAGACGCCGUUUUUCAUUAAACAGUGUAAUGACGACCCGCUGUAUUUUAUUUACCCGGCAGGUUUUGCCCCUUGGACAUCAUUUACGGCGUGUCUUACCCGUGAAGGUGUUUAUUUCUAUGUAAUGCUCGCGCUGUCAGAGUUUAGCGCGGUCUGUGAAUGCUCUGAAUUUAAAGCGCGCAGAAUCCUUCAUCUGCUCUGCACAUGUUUUAGACGUUCAGAAAUGCUUUUGCUGAGGUUUUGUUUGUUUGCUUGUUUAUAUCAGACCUUCUGCUCGUCCACACGCGAUGAGGUUCGCUUGGCAAAGGAGGCCAGCAAGAAAUACGGGAAACCUGAACCCACUAUAUUUUCUAAAAUAGUUGACAAAACUAUCCCUGCAGAUAUAAUUCACGAGGAUGACAAGUGUCUAGCUUUCAGAGAUGUAAAUCCCCAGGCUCCUGUGCACUUCCUGGUUAUUCCAAGGAUUCCCAUUCCCAAGAUCAGUGAAGCACACGAUGAUGAUGCAUCGCUUCUGGGUCAUCUUUUGAUAGUGGCCAAAAACAUAGCAAAGAAAGAAGGACUGGACGAAGGAUACAGAGUUGAAAUCGAGACUCAAAAGACCAGGCAGCAUUUUUCCAGUCUUCAACUGUCCAAUUUUGGUUGGAGUUCAGGAGAUUGUCUUGACCAGGACCACACCCCUAAAUGCAUUGAAGCAACUGCCAUGUGAUUGGUUGAUUAGAUAAUUGCAUUAAUGAGAAAUUUAACAGGUGUUCCUAAUAAUCCUUUAGUCAUCAAUGAUGGUAAAAAUGGGGCGCAGUCUGUGUAUCACCUUCACAUUCAUGUUCUCGGGGGACGGCAAAUGAAGUGGCCUCCAGGAUAGAUGGACCUACUGUCAGAAUAAAAGUAAUGCUCUGCAUUUUUGGAAGAUAUGAGAAUAAUGGAUAAACAGUACAAAAUGGAAAUUUGUUGGAUAUUAUCAAAAAAUGUUUGUCAAAUAAAGUGUAAUACUGUUUUUUUUAUUCAUUACAAGAGUUUGGCUUUCAUUCUGCAAUUAAUGUUAACAAGCUGUUGGGUAAACUGCACUUAACUGGGUUGGGUUACCUUUACUGUUGUUUACUGUCAUCAUUGGUUAAUAAAAAUAUUCUGGCGAGCUU